UACGUAGGUGGCAAGCGUUGUCCGGAUUUACUGGGCGUAAAGAGCGCGCAGGCGGUCGUUCAAGUCGCGUGUGAAAGCCCCCGGCUCAACCCUGGAAGGCCGGUGGAAACUGUCGGGCUAGAGUCCGGAAGAGGCGAGUGGAAUUCCUGGUGUAGCGGUGAAAUGCGCAGAUAUCAGGAGGAACACCAAUUGCGAAGGCAGCUCGCUGGGACGUUACUGACGCUGAGACGCGAAAGCGUGGGGAGCAAACAGG
rnacentral:rRNA from 1 species